CCUACGGGCGGCUGCAGUGGGGAAUCUUGCGCAAUGGGCGAAAGCCUGACGCAGCAACGCCGCGUGCGGGAAGAAGGCCUUCGGGUUGUAAACCGCUUUCAGAAGGGACGAAACUGACGGUACUUUCAGAAGAAGGUGCGGCCAACUACGUGCCAGCAGCCGCGGUGACACGUAGGCACCAAGCGUUGUCCGGAUUUAUUGGGCGUAAAGAGCUCGUAGGCGGUUCGGUAAGUCGGGUGUGAAAACUUUGGGCUCAACCCAAAGCGUGCACUCGAUACUGCCGUGACUAGAGUUCGGUAGGGGAGUGGGGAAUUCCUAGUGUAGCGGUGAAAUGCGCAGAUAUUAGGAGGAACACCGGUGGCGAAGGCGCCACUCUGGGCCGAAACUGACGCUGAGGAGCGAAAGCGUGGGUAGCAAACAGGAUUAGAUACCCCAGUAGUC
rnacentral:rRNA from 1 species